rnacentral:tRNA from 1 species
GCGGUCGUGGCGGAAUCGGCAGACGCGCUGGCUUAAGGUGCCAGUGGCAGCAAUGCCAUGGAGGUUCGAGUCCUCUCAACCACACCA